AUUGAACGCUGGCGGCAGGCCUAACACAUGCAAGUCGAGCGGAUGAAGGGAGCUUGCUCCUGGAUUCAGCGGCGGACGGGUGAGUAAUGCCUAGGAAUCUGCCUGGUAGUGGGGGAUAACGUCCGGAAACGGGCGCUAAUACCGCAUACGUCCUGAGGGAGGAAGUGGGGGAUCUUCGGACCUCACGCUAUCAGAUGAGCCUAGGUCGGAUUAGCUAGUUGGUGGGGUAAAGGCCUACCAAGGCGACGAUCCGUAACUGGUCUGAGAGGAUGAUCAGUCACACUGGAACUGAGACACGGUCCAGACUCCUACGGGAGGCAGCAGUGGGGAAUAUUGGACAAUGGGCGAAAGCCUGAUCCAGCCAUGCCGCGUGUGUGAAGAAGGUCUUCGGGUUGUAAAGCACUUUAAGUUGGGAGGAAGGGCAGUAAGUUAAUACCUUGCUGUUUUGACGUUACCAACAGAAUAAGCACCGGCUAACUUCGUG
rnacentral:rRNA from 1 species